rnacentral:rRNA from 1 species
GUUGAACGCUGGCGGCGGGCCUAACACAUGCAAGUCGAACGGGUGGCGGACGGGUGAGUAGUGUCUGAGAAACUGCCUGAUGGAGGGGGAUAACUCCUGGAAACGGUAGCUAAUACCGCAUACCAUCAGAUGUGCCCAGAUGGGAUUAGCUUGUCGGUGGGGUAAAGGCUCACCAAGGCGACGAUCCCUAGCUGGUCUGAGAGGAUGAGCAGCCACACUGGAACUGAGACACGGUCCAGACUCCUACGGGAGGCAGCAGUGGGGAAUAUUGCACAAUGGGCGCAAGCCUGAUGCAGCCAGGCCGCGUGUAUGAAGAAGGCCUUCGGGUUGUAAAGUACUUUCAGCGGGGAGGCGUUACCCGCAGAAGAAGCACCGGCUAACUCCGUGCCAGCAGCCGCGGUAAUUC